rnacentral:rRNA from 1 species
CGGGAAGAGCUCAAAUUUAAAAUCUGGCAGUUCAGUGAGCUGUCCGAGUUGUAAUCUAGAGAAGUGCUUUCUGCACUGGACCGUGUACAAGUCUCUUGGAAUGGAGCAUCAUAGAGGGUGAUAAUCCCGUCUUUGACACGGACUCCCGGGGCAUUGUGUGGCACUCUCAAA